UCGAGCGAAUCUUUGGGAGCUUGCUCCUAAAGGUUAGCGGCGGACGGGUGAGUAACACGUGGGCAACCUGCCUAUAAGACUGGGAUAACUUCGGGAAACCGGAGCUAAUACCGGAUAAUUCUUUUCUACACAUGUAGAAAAGCUAAAAGACGGUUUACGCUGUCACUUAUAGAUGGGCCCGCGGCGCAUUAGCUAGUUGGUGAGGUAACGGCUCACCAAGGCCACGAUGCGUAGCCGACCUGAGAGGGUGAUCGGCCACACUGGGACUGAGACACGGCCCAGACUCCUACGGGAGGCAGCAGUAGGGAAUCUUCCGCAAUGGACGAAAGUCUGACGGAGCAACGCCGCGUGAGUGAUGAAGGUUUUCGGAUCGUAAAACUCUGUUGUUAGGGAAGAACAAGUACGAGAGUAACUGCUCGUACCUUGACGGUACCUAACCAGAAAGCCACGGCUAACUACGUGCCAGCAGCCGCGGUAAUACGUAGGUGGCAAGCGUUGUCCGGAAUUAUUGGGCGUAAAGCGCGCGCAGGCGGUCCUUUAAGUCUGAUGUGAAAGCCCACGGCUCAACCGUGGAGGGUCAUUGGAAACUGGGGGACUUGAGUGCAGGAGAGAAGAGUGGAAUUCCACGUGUAGCGGUGAAAUGCGUAGAGAUGUGGAGGAACACCAGUGGCGAAGGCGACUCUUUGGCCUGUAACUGACGCUGAGGCGCGAAAGCGUGGGGAGCA
rnacentral:rRNA from 1 species